GCCCCCAUUCCCUCCCUCUCUCCUCUCUCCCGCCGCCCACCACCCUCAUGCUCUGCUCUCGGUGCCCUGCAGGGAGCUGCUGGCUAAUCCUGCCAUCCCAGGGCUGCUCCUGGAAGCCAUGAAGCUGGCCGUGAAGAAGCAACGGAGGAAAAUCAAGGCCAAGAUGCUGGGGACCGUGGAGGAGCCGGGAAGCAGUGACGAUGAAGACGGGGUCUGGCUGCCACCACCCAGCGAAAGUGAGGAGGGUCCAGGGCCCCCCGAAUCCAGAAUCCGAAGCUUCUUUAGCCUGUGGUAUCGCGGCAGCUCAGAAUCAUCCUCAUCAGAGUGCCCAGCUGAGUGUGUCGUGGUCAAGCCCCCAGACGACAAGGUGCCGCCAUCACCUCCUGCCCCCUCUGGCACCUCCCCGAGCUCCGACCGGACUCCCGGUUCCCUACCCGCCCCCUGAGCCCAGGCCUGCCCCGACUCUUAUGGAGGGAAAGACCCCUGUGCUCUCCAAAGGCCUUCCCUCUGCUGCCGGGGAGCAGUAUUUCCUGACCCCAGCCUCGGCCCCACCCCUCCCCUCAGGAACAAUCUUGUCCUCGGGGGGAGGAGACGAAGGACAUCGGGGCAGCCUCAGCCUCCCACCUGGAUGGAGGUCAGCGGGCUGAGGAGCCGGCCCGUCUCAGUCCCCCGGGGACCCGGCUCGGGGAGCUAAUCGACAGCCGGCGCCGAACCCCCAAGGGCCGGAUCCUGGAUGGAGGGAGGACAAGAACCGGUCCCUGCCCGCAAGGCUUCCAGUGUAAAGAAGAAGCGUCACAGAUGUACGACGCUGCCACAGGGAGGGAUGGAGCUGCUGGCCGUUUGUGACCAUUUUGGCUUGAAACCCAGUUCCCUGCCCAGCCUGCUGUGCUAUCAGAUGAAGGGAGAUUAAAAAUUCCCAAGGGUGAUGUGCCGUUUCUGGUCACUUUGGAGGUGGGGUGCCCAGUUUCUCACACCGGUUCCCAGUACCCUGGCAACGGAUGGCUGGGCUGGGCACUCUCUUGGGGCUCUACACUAGUGCAUCCUGAGUUUGUCCCAGGGGUUUGCUGAAAGAUGUGGAAACCCCAAAAGGCCCAAGAAGUAUUCCGAGUUCAGCUGGCUGGAGCUGGCAGGGGAGAGAUGCCAGAAUCCUCUACACAGCGAGUCUCCGACAAUGCAGGUUCCACACUCGUCGACCUUUAGGGGACUCCCUUUGUCCUCACCCCAGUAAUCACUCUUUACUUCAUUAAAGGUUUCAGUUCCAGCCCCUGAGACAUUGACACUGCAAAGACUUACUCUAGAACGGAGCAGGAUAUUGAUAACAGGCGGAACCUUAAACUGAAUCCAGGUAUAACUGCCCAAGCAUUGCAGUAAGUACUGGGGUAGAUUCAAGAUAAUCAGCUCUCACGUAGGGCUCACCGUCCUAAGUAGGAGGGAGAAUAGGUAUUAUUGAUUCCCCAUUUGGCAGAUGAGGGAACUGAGGCACAGAGAAGUAAAGCGACAUGCCAAAAGUGACACCACAGGUAUGUGGUGGAGCAAAGAUUAGAACCCAGGUCCUCUGGGUUCCAGCACUGUACUCUUUCCACUAGGUCAUGCUGCUCUGUUCUCUCUUCCACUUAGAAUGCGAUCCCUGUGUGGAACAGGGACUGUGUCUGAUCUGUUCCUCUUGAAAAGGCCCCGGUGCUUAGAACGGUACUUGGCACUUAGCAAACACAAAUACCAUCUUCAUUAGAAUUAUUAUGGAUGUCAGACUCAGUACAAAAUUACUGUCUGUACUUCACUCUGCUGCCCAGAUCAUUUUUCUACAGGAACGUUCAGGUCACUUAUCCUCACUCCUCAAGAACCUCCAGUGGCGGCCCAUCCACUUCCACAUCAGACAGAAACUCCUUACCGUUGGCUUCAAAGCCCUCAAUCACAUUGCCACCUCCUACCUCACCUAGCUACUCUCCUCCUGCAACCCAGCCCACACAUUUCGCUCCUCUAAUGCCAACCUUCUCACUCUACCUCAAUCUUGCCUAACUCGCCGCAGACUGCUCGCCCACAUCCUGCCUCUGGCCUGGAAAGCCCUCCCUCUUCAAUCCGACAGACAAUUAUUCUCCCGUCCUUCGAAGCCUUCUUGAAGGCACAGCUCCUCCGAGAGGCCUUCCCUGACUAAACUCUGUUUUCCUCUUCUCCCACUCCAUUCUGCAACAUCUUGACUGUCUCCUUUUAUUCAUCCCCCCUCCCAGCCCCAUAGCACUAAAGUACAUAUCUGUAAUUUUAUUUAUAUUAAUGUCUGUCUCCCCCUCUAGACUGUAAGCCUGUCGUGGGCAGCGAAUGUGUCUGUUGUUAUAUCGUACUCUCCCAAGCGCUCUGCCCACAGUUAACACUCAAUAAAUCACGAUUGACUGACCGUUCCUCUAAUCCCAUGCCAACAGGCAAGCAUGAAGCUUGAGGGUGGCAGGUGGAAAACAAACAAGACACUUCUUCACACAGUGGCAGGAGAGCACUUGAAAUUUUUUUUCCAGGAAGUUGUUCUGGCAGAAAAUAGGUUUAAAAGGAAUUUG
rnacentral:lncRNA from 1 species